rnacentral:rRNA from 1 species
AUUGAACGCUGGCGGCAGGCCUAACACAUGCAAGUCGAGCGAGCGGCGGACGGGUGAGUAAUGUAUGGGGACUGCCCGAUAGAGGGGGAUAAAUACUGGAAACGGUGGCUAAUACCGCAUACUAUCCGAUAACCCAUAUGGGGUUAGCUAGUGGGUGUGGUAAAGGCUCACCUAGGGGACGAUCCUUAGCUGGUCUGAGAGGAUGAUCAGCCACCCUGGGACUGAGACACGGCCCAGACUCCGACGGAGGCAGCAGUGUGGAAUAUUGCACAAUGGGCGAAAGCCUGAUACAGACAUGCCGCGUGUAUGAAGAAGUCCUUAGGGUUGUAAAGUACUUUCAGCGGGGAGGCGUUACCCGCAGAAGAAGCACCGGCUAACUCCGUGCCAGCAGCCGCGGUAAUAC